AUCAAUCCAUAUCAAUUUCAAUAUAUAUUUAUAGAGCGCUUUACAGUACCAAAUGGUGUCCAAAGCACUUAACAUUAAAAACACAAAUUCACAAAAAUAAAACACG